rnacentral:lncRNA from 1 species
UUCUUGAUAGUAUGACAUACCUAUACUCAAGAUUAAAUAUGGAUACAAUUUCAACAGUGUGAGCUUGCAUGUUUUCAUUCGUGCCAUACUUGAUUAUUCUCACUUUGAGGGCUUCCAAUUGCAUACCAGUUGAGCACAUUCACCUUGAGCUAGUGACUUAUAAUCUUUCAAAGCAUACAAUCAAUAUGACACUUUUCAUCCAUAAGAUACUCCAUCAUUUGAUCCAACAUAGAUUUUAUGCUUAGCAUUGCUCUAUACAGCUUGAUUUGAUACCUCAAAAUCCAUCAAGUACAAGAACUUGACCCUAGCAAAGAAUCCAUGGCCCAAGCUGUCAUCUGACCUAUCUUUGCUUAUUGUUGCUAAUCCCUCGAUUGACUCCUUCAUUCUAUCCUCCCAAAUUUGAGUUUAGAUUUGCUUUGACAACAACCAUGAAUCUUUUCUUCAGUCU